GGACUUUUAGCUCAGUUGGUUAGAGCAGACGGCUCAUAACCGUCCGGUCGUAGGUUCGAGUCCUACAAGGUCCA
rnacentral:tRNA from 2 species